CGCCACCGUCCCCGGUGUACAAGCCCCCUCCAGUUCCCGUAAACCCACCUGUUCCAAUCUAUAAACCUCCACCAGUUCCAGUCUAUAAACCUCCUCCAGUUCCAGUAAAACCACUUCCUCCACCUGUUCCAAUCUACAAACCUCCACCAGUUGAAAAACCACAUCCUCCACCUGUUCCAGUCUAUAAACCUCCACCAGUUCCAGUAUACAAGAAACCAUGUCCUCCACCAGUUCCAGUCUAUAAAUCUCCUCCGGUUCCAGUAUACAAGAAACCGCAUCCUCCUCCAGUUCCAGUCUAUAAGAAACCACAUCCACCUCCAGUUCCAGUAUACAAGAAACCAUGUCCUCCCCCAGUUCCAGUCUAUAAAUCUCCUCCAGUUCCGGAACCACAUCCUCCGCCAGUUCCAGUCCAUAAGCCUCCUCCAGUUCCGGUAUACAAGAAACGAGUCCCUCCUCCGGUUCCAAUCUACAAGCCCCCUCCAGUUCCUGUAUACAACAAACCACUACCUCCCCCGGUUCCAGUGUAUACGAAGCCACUUCCACCACCUGUUCCAACCUACAAACCAAAACCCCUCCCUCCCAUUCCUUACAAGCCACUCCCUCCACUUCCCAAGAUCCCUCCAUUCCCUAAGAAGCCAUGCCCUCCCCUUCCUAAGCUACCCCCUCUUCCCAAGAUUCCUCCCAAGUAUUUCCACCACCACCCUCCCCUUCCUAAGCUACCUCCUCUCCCUAAGAUUCCUCCCAAGUAUUUCCACCACCAUCCCAAGUUCGGAAAAUGGC
rnacentral:lncRNA from 1 species